GGUGAGAUGGCCGAGCGGUCUAAGGCGCCAGACUAAGGACCAGGACGUUCAGACGUCCUUGGAUAUCUGGUCCGAAAGGGCGUGGGUUCGAAUCCCACUCUCAUCA